CCUACGGGGGGCAGCAGUGGGGAAUAUUGCGCAAUGGGCGAAAGCCUGACGCAGCGACGCCGCGUGAGGGAUGAAGGUCUUCGGAUCGUAAACCUCUGUCAGCAGGGAAGAACGGUCACUGUGCUAAUCAGCAGUGAAUUGACGGUACCUGCAAAGGAAGCACCGGCUAACUCCGUGCCAGCAGCCGCGGUAAUACGGAGGGUGCGAGCGUUAAUCGGAAUUACUGGGCGUAAAGCGCUCGUAGGCGGUAUGUCAAGUCAAGGGUGAAAUCCCCGCGCUCAACGUGGGAACUGCCUUGGAAACUGGCAAACUGGAGUGUGUGAGAGGAUAGUGGAAUUCCAGGCGAAGGAGUGAAAUGCGUAGAUAUCUGGAGGAACAUCAGUGGCGAAGGCGACUAUCUGGCACAUAACUGACGCUGAGGGGCGAAAGCGUGGGUAGCAAACAGGAUUAGAUACCCCGGUAGUC
rnacentral:rRNA from 1 species